GUCACUGAAAGGGGUGGUACAACGUCAGAUGGUGAGAUCCGACCAUCAAGGAGUUAUAUUGUUGUCCUGACUGAUUUUUCAUGUGGAUGUGGGAGACCAAGACAGUACCACUCUCCUUGUUCUCACUAUAUUGCAGCAGCUAGGCAUCGCAACUUUGACUACGAGACCAAGAUACCAUGGGAGUUGAGUGUUGAUAGCCUUGUGCUAACUUGGUCGCCCCGUUUUGAGCCUUUCCUAGAUGAGGGGCAGUGGCCAGAAUACAUUGGCCCAAGGUACAUUGCAGAUCCAGGUGCUCGCUGGAACAAACGUGGAACCAGAAAGCGUACGAGGCAUAAGAUGGUCAUGGACCAGAUUUCAGGUAGAACGAGGCGAGGGAGAGCAACCCCGUUUGUUACUGACCCCGAGCAAAAUCAAUGUGGCAAAUGUGGUAGACUUGGACACAACUCGCGUACUUGCCAUUGGCCGCUAAGUCAGGAUGGAGCAGUUCCACCUCCUGGAUCCAUACUACGAGGUGAAGCACCGAGGACGACUCACUGCCGAGGGGGCGGAACUACCCCCGCUUCGACCUCGAACGCAUGACAAGUUCGAGGAGAUGCGGUAUGACGACAGGUACACACCUCUGCUGCAGAGGGCUG